UACGGAGGGGGCUAGCGUUGUUCGGAAUUACUGGGCGUAAAGCGCACGUAGGCGGCUUUGUAAGUUAGAGGUGAAAGCCCAGGGCUCAACCCUGGAAUUGCCUUUAAGACUGCAUCGCUUGAAUCAUGGAGAGGUGAGUGGAAUUCCGAGUGUAGAGGUGAAAUUCGUAGAUAUUCGGAAGAACACCAGUGGCGAAGGCAGCUCUCUGGGACGGUACUGACGCUGAGACGCGAAAGCGUGGGGAGCGAACAGG
rnacentral:rRNA from 1 species